GAUGAACGCUGGCGGCGUGCUUAAUACAUGCAAGUCGAACGAAGCACCUCUCCCGAAGAUAGACCCAGCUUGCUGGGAAUUGAUUCAUUUGAGGUGACUGAGUGGCGGACGGGUGAGUAACGCGUGGGUAACCUGCCUUAUACAGGGGGAUAACAGUUGGAACCGACUGCUAAUACCGCAUAAGCGCACAGUACCGCAUGGUACAGUGUGAAAAACUCCGGUGGUAUAAGAUGGACCCGCGUCUGAUUAGCUGGUUGGUGAGGUAACGGCUUACCAAGGCAACGAUCAGUAGCCGACUUGAGAGAGUGAUCGGCCACAUUGGGACUGAGACACGGCCCAAACUCCUACGGGAGGCAGCAGUAGGGAAUAUUGCACAAUGGGGGAAACCCUGAUGCAGCGACGCCGCGUGAAGGAUGAAGUAUUUCGGUAUGUAAACUUCUAUCAGCAAGGAAGAAAAUGACGGUACUUGACUAAGAAGCCCCGG
rnacentral:rRNA from 1 species